rnacentral:rRNA from 1 species
GAUGAACGCUAGCGGCAGGCUUAAUACAUGCAAGUCGAGGGGUAGCAAGAUUGUAGCAAUACAAUUGUUGACGACCGGCAAACGGGUGCGGAACACGUACACAACCUUCCUACAAGUGGGGAAUAGCCCAGAGAAAUUUGGAUUAAUACCCCGUGACAUAGCGAUGUGGCAUCACAUUGCUAUUAUAGCUUCGGCGCUUGUUGAUGGGUGUGCGGCUGAUUAGAUAGUUGGCGGGGUAACGGCCCACCAAGUCUACGAUCAGUAGCUGAUGUGAGAGCAUGAUCAGCCACACGGGCACUGAGACACGGGCCCGACUCCUACGGGAGGCAGCAGCAAGGAAUAUUGGACAAUGGACGCAAGUCUGAUCCAGCCAUGCCGCGUGAAGGAUUAAGGUCCUCUGGAUUGUAAACUUCUUUUAUAAGGGACGAAAAAAGGUCUUUCUAGAUCGUCUGACGGUACCUUAUGAAUAAGCACCGGCUAACUCCGUGCCAGCCGCCGCAGUAAUAC